GAUGAACGCUGGCGGCGUGCCUAAUACAUGCAAGUCGAGCGAACAGACGAGGCGCUUGCUCCUCUGAAGUUAGCGGCGGACGGGUGAGUAACACGUGGAUAACCUACCUAUAAGACUGGGAUAACUUCGGGAAACCGGAGCUAAUACCGGAUAAUAUAUUGAACCGCAUGGUUCAAUAGUGAAAGACGGUUUUGCUGUGACUUAUAGAUGGAUCCGUGUCGCAUUAGCUAGUUGGUACGGUAACGGCUUACCAAGGCGACGAUGCGUAGCCGACCUGAGAGGGUGAUCGGCCACACUGGAACUGAGACACGGUCCAGACUCCUACGGGAGGCAGCAAUAGGGAAUCUUCCGCGAUGGGCGAAAGCCUGACGGAGCGACGCCGCGUGGGUGAUGAGGGUCUUCGGGUCGUAAGACUCUGUUAUUGGUGAAGAACAAAUGUGUAAGUAACUAUGCACGUCGUGACGGUACCUAGUCAGAAAGCCACGGCUAACUACGUG
rnacentral:rRNA from 1 species